GGAAUAUUGGGCAAUGGGCGCAAGCCUGACCCAGCCAUGCCGCGUGAGUGAUGAAGGCCUUCGGGUCGUAAAGCUCUGUGGGGAGGGACGAACAGUCCGGGUAUCAAUACCAUCCGGAUCUGACGGUACUUCCUUAGCAAGCACCGGCUAACUCCGUGCCAGCAGCCGCGGUAAUACGGAGGGUGCAAACGUUGCUCGGAAUCAUUGGGCGUAAAGCGCACGUAGGCGGUCUUUUAAGUCGGAUGUGAAAGCCCCAGGCUCAACCUGGGAAGUGCAUCGGAAACUGAAAGGCUAGAGUACGGAAGAGGGUCUCGGAAUUCCCGGUGUAGAGGUGAAAUUCGUAGAUAUCGGGAGGAACACCAGUGGCGAAGGCGGAGACCUGGGCCGAUACUGACGCUGAGGUGCGAAAGCGUGGGGAGCAAACA
rnacentral:rRNA from 1 species